CAGUUCGGAUCGCAGGCUGCAACCCGCCUGCGUGAAGUUGGAAUCGCUAGUAAUCGCGGAUCAGCAUGCCGCGGUGAAUACGUUCCCGGGCCUUGUACACACCGCCCGUCACACCAUGAGAGUCGGGAACACCCGAAGUCCGUAGCCUAACCGCGAAGGGGGGCGCGGCCGAAGGUGGGUUCGAUAAUUGGGGUGAAGUCGUAACAAGGUAAC
rnacentral:rRNA from 1 species